rnacentral:tRNA from 1 species
AUUUUUCUAGUACAAAAAGUAUAGGUGACUUCCAAUCAUCUGAUCUUGGUUAAAAUCCAAGGAAAAAUA